UACGAAGGGGGCUAGCGAUGCUCGGAAUUACUGGGCGUAAAGGGCGCGUAGGCGGACAGUUUAGUCAGAGGUGAAAGCCCAGGGCUCAACCUUGGAAUAGCCUUUGAUACUGGCUGUCUUGAGUUCGGGAGAGGUGAGUGGAAUGCCGAGUGUAGAGGUGAAAUUCGUAGAUAUUCGGCGGAACACCAGUGGCGAAGGCGACUCACUGGCCCGAUACUGACGCUGAGGCACGAAAGCGUGGGGAGCAAACAGG
rnacentral:rRNA from 1 species